UUGAUCCUGGCUCAGGACGAACGCUGGCGGCGUGGAUUAGGCAUGCAAGUCGAACGAGAAAGUUUUCCUUCGGGAGAGCGAGUACAGUGGCGGACUGGUGAGUAACGCGUAGGUAAUCUACCUUCAAGUGGGGGAUAGCCCUCGGAAACGGGGAUUAAUACCGCAUGUGUUCCUUCGGGAAUAAAGGUGGCCUCUGAUUAAGCUGUCGCUUGAAGAUGAGCCUGCGUCCUAUUAGCUAGUUGGUGUGGUAAUGGCAUACCAAGGCGAUGAUAGGUAGGCGGCCUUAACGGGUGGUCGCCCACACUGGGAUUGAGAUACGGCCCAGACUCCUACGGGAGGCAGCAGUCGAGAAUAGUCUACAAUGGACGAAAGUCUGAUAGUGCGACGCCGCGUGAACGAAGAAUCCCUUCGGGGUGUAAAGUUCUUUUAUAUGUGAGCAAUGGUUUAUAUGUGAACAGCAUAUAGGCAGAGAUAUUAGCAUAUGAAUAAGCAACGGCUAACUCCGUGCCAGCAGCCGCGGUAACACGGGGGUUGCAAGCGUUGUCCGGAAUUACUAGGCGUAAAGGGCAGGUAGGCGGAACUAUAAGUUUGAUGUUAAAGGCAGCGGCUCACCCGCUGUACGGCAUUAGAUACUGUAGAUCUGGAAUACGGUUGGGGAAGACAGAAUUCCUGGUGUAGCGGUGGA
rnacentral:rRNA from 1 species